CCAAAUGUAACAUAACUAGGAAUAAUUAACCUAGUUAGUAAAUUGAAUUGAAAAAAAAAAAAACAAUAAGGAAAAACAUGAAAUAGAUAACCAUUUUACAAAAUAUGGAACUAUAGGGACUAAAAGAGGCAAAAGGGAAAAAUGUUUUUAAUUAAAACAAAUAAACACCAAAACACACACACAUGUGUGUGUUUGGUCGACGUUUACACAGAGCCAGGAGAAGGGUUCUUUUCAAAACCCUAAACUCACUAAAAUCCAUCAAAAUCUAAGGGAAAUCGAGUUGGAAAUUAGGGCUUUAACUAAAUUCAUGAUCAACCAUGCUAGGAGAUCACAAGUUGACUCUAAACAAGCUAGGUGGGAGCUUGGAAAGGAACGGGUCAAACGGAUCAUGGAUGCGAAGAAUGUUUGCGCGAACGCGAGGAGUGAACGGGAAGUGGAUUAUUGCGUUGCUAUAAAGUAGCGGCUAAUAAAAGAAAGGUACAAAACGGGUCUAUAUGUUGACUCGAGCCAGGUACGCAUUAAUUAGAUCAUGGCGAUAUGCGUAGUUGUAUUUUAGAAUAUAAGUUACUAUGAAAUAUAGCGAUGAUAUCGCCACAUUGAAUAUUUGGUCAAAAGAUGGUUAGAACUCGUUGGUAGCCGUCAAAAAGGAAGGAAUUCCGUAGACAAGCCAAACGGGUCGAAUAAUCAAGUAAGGCAUGGUUAUUGUUUCGGAUUAUGAUGGUUUGAUGGUUGAUUUUGAAUAUUUUAUAACAUAUUAGAAAUAUGAGGUUUUAAUGAAUUAGUAUCAUAGAAAACUGAAAACCGAGAGUCGGGUCUUGGAGUAAUGAUCAAAUAAAACAAAACCUGACAUUCCAGGUACUACCGUAAAUUACGGUAGAACCGUAAUUUACGGUGGUUGUGAUAUGGUUUACGGAGCAGAUCUCCUGGUUUACGGUGACCAGACAUUUCCAGGUCUCACCGUAAAUUACGGUGAUACCGUAAUUUACGGUGGAUUCAGAAUCACUUUUUUUAUAUUUUUGUUAUUUCUAAUGUGGCAUUAAGCCUUGGGAUUAUGUUAUUAUAUAACAACGUCAAAACUAAUGAUUUUAACGGUUUUGAUCAUAGGUGAAUGCCAAGAGUGCCCGGAUGAAGAUCAAGCUCGAUGAGGAACCGAACACAAUAAAAUCUAACACUCGGGAUUAAAGCUUCCGCACGGCGUUACGCCAUAUCUUUUAAACGACGAACUUAUUUAUAUUACGUUGAAAACUUUUAAGUUGUAAAAGUUUUUUUUUAGAUUACUUGUAUUUUCUAAGAAUACUUAAUCGCAAUUUCAUGUUUAUUUUCGAUAUUUAUACGAAAACCUUAAAAAUUAUAACAUGGGUGUUACAAGUUGGUAUCAGAGCCUUGGUUUAAGAGAUUCAAGUAUGGUGGGGAAAACCAUGCUUGGACUUAAACCUUACGCUCUUGAUAAAGAAUAGUGUUCGGUUCGAGGCUUGAUCGCAAAUCCGGUAAGUGCAUGUAUGCUGAUGGUCUAGUGUAUUAAAGUAUUGUAAAUAACACAUAGGGUUACCGUGUAAUACACAUUACCCCAACUAAAUGAUUGAUAUAGUUGACAAAAAUACGCGCGUUGACGCUUAUAGUAGAAAAAGCCUUGUAUUAUAAUACAGGGGAUUAUUGAAGUUGACAUUACUAACUUUUGUGAAUGUCUUGAUUUAAGGACACUUGCAUUUAAAGAUGACAAAGGACAAACAAAUUAAGGAUGUGAUAGAGGAAUAGUCCGAGGCAUGACAAGAGGAACAUGCUCACUAAGGACUAAAUCGCAUAAAGACCGCGAACAAGGUUAAUGGCAAGAGACGCCCGUCGGGGCAAGCAUUAUCAGUUGACUCUAAACAAGCUAGGUGGGAGCUUGGAAAGGAACGGGUCAAACGGAUCAUGGAUGCGAAGAAUGUUUGCGCGAACGCGAGGUAAGUAAAGCUUACGCCCAAUUGUAGUAAACGUAUGUAUUUUAUAGAUGAUAAAUGUGACAACCGAUUACAUUCGAAAUUGAAGUUCCGACACUAAGCGAUGUGAGUCGGAACGAAUAAAAAUGAUCAAAACCAUGGUUAAUGGUAAAAUGGACAAAAGGGCAAUUUAGUCGAGAAUCGACUAAGAAUUUAUAAGAUUUCUUUAAGGUUACCUUAUAGCGAAACUUGAAAUGGGUCGGAUGUGUGAAGGGGAUAUUAAAAGUCAUGUUUUGACAUAAGUAUAAAUGUUUGGUCAUAAAUACCAAAUGGGUCAAAUGGUGGUGAUGACACAAUUUGACAAUAUCGACUAAUGUUUGGUUGUUAAGUUAAAUGUUCACAGGAGUGAACGGGAAGUGGAUUAUUGCGUUGCUAUAAAGUAGCGGCUAAUAAAAGAAAGGUACAAAACGGGUCUAUAUGUUGACUCGAGCCAGGUACGCAUUAAUUAGAUCAUGGCGAUAUGCGUAGUUGUAUUUUAGAAUAUAAGUUACUAUGAAAUAUAGCGAUGAUAUCGCCACAUUGAAUAUUUGGUCAAAAGAUGGUUAGAACUCGUUGGUAGCCGUCAAAAAGGAAGGAAUUCCGUAGACAAGCCAAACGGGUCGAAUAAUCAAGUAAGGCAUGGUUAUUGUUUCGGAUUAUGAUGGUUUGAUGGUUGAUUUUGAAUAUUUUAUAACAUAUUAGAAAUAUGAGGUUUUAAUGAAUUAGUAUCAUAGAAAACUGAAAACCGAGAGUCGGGUCUUGGAGUAAUGAUCAAAUAAAACAAAACCUGACAUUCCAGGUACUACCGUAAAUUACGGUAGAACCGUAAUUUACGGUGGUUGUGAUAUGGUUUACGGAGCAGAUCUCCUGGUUUACGGUGACCAGACAUUUCCAGGUCUCACCGUAAAUUACGGUGAUACCGUAAUUUACGGUGGAUUCAGAAUCACUUUUUUUUAUAUUUUUGUUAUUUCUAAUGUGGCAUUAAGCCUUGGGAUUAUGUUAUUAUAUAACAACGUCAAAACUAAUGAUUUUAACGGUUUUGAUCAUAGGUGAAUGCCAAGAGUGCCCGGAUGAAGAUCAAGCUCGAUGAGGAACCGAACACAAUAAAAUCUAACACUCGGGAUUAAAGCUUCCGCACGGCGUUACGCCAUAUCUUUUAAACGACGAACUUAUUUAUAUUACGUUGAAAACUUUUAAGUUGUAAAAGUUUUUUUUUAGAUUACUUGUAUUUUCUAAGAAUACUUAAUCGCAAUUUCAUGUUUAUUUUCGAUAUUUAUACGAAAACCUUAAAAAUUAUAACA